rnacentral:rRNA from 1 species
AUUGAACGCUGGCGGCAUGCUUUACACAUGCAAGUCGAACGGUAACAGGCCGCAAGGUGCUGACGAGUGGCGAACGGGUGAGUAAUGCAUCGGAACGUGCCCAGUCGUGGGGGAUAACGCAGCGAAAGCUGCGCUAAUACCGCAUACGAUCUAUGGAUGAAAGCGGGGGACCGUAAGGCCUCGCGCGAUUGGAGCGGCCGAUGUCAGAUUAGGUAGUUGGUGGGGUAAGGGCUCACCAAGCCAACGAUCUGUAGCUGGUCUGAGAGGACGACCAGCCACACUGGGACUGAGACACGGCCCAGACUCCUACGGGAGGCAGCAGUGGGGAAUUUUGGACAAUGGGCGCAAGCCUGAUCCAGCAAUGCCGCGUGCAGGAAGAAGGCCUUCGGGUUGUAAACCGCUUUUGUCAGGGAAGAAAUCUUCUGAGUUAAUACCUCGGGAGGAUGACGGUACCUGAAGAAUAAGCACCGGCUAACUACGUGCCAGCCGCCGCCGUAAUAC